GACGAACGCUGGCGGCGUGCUUAACACAUGCAAGUCGAACGGAAAGGCCCUGCUUUUGUGGGGUGCUCGAGUGGCGAACGGGUGAGUAACACGUGAGUAACCUGCCCUUGACUUUGGGAUAACUUCAGGAAACUGGGGCUAAUACCGGAUAGGAGCUCCUGCUGCAUGGGGGGGGAUGGAAAGUUUCGGCGGUGGGGGCUGGACUCGCGGCUUAUCAGCUUGAUGGUGGGGUAGUGGCUUACCAAGGCUUUGACGGGUAGCCGGCCUGGGAGGGUGACCGGCCACAUUGGGCCUGAGAUACGGCCCAGACUCCUACGGGAGGCAGCAGUGGGGAAUAUUGCACAAUGGGCGGAAGCCUGAUGCAGCAACGCCGCGUGCGGGAUGACGGCCUUCGGGUUGUAAACCGCUUUCGCCUGUGACGAAGCGUGAGUGACGGUAAUGGGUAAAGAAGCACCGGCUAACUACGUG
rnacentral:rRNA from 1 species